rnacentral:rRNA from 1 species
UACAGAGGUGGCAAGCGUUGUUCGGAAUUACUGGGCGUAAAGGGCGCGUAGGCGGUUCGUUAAGUCCUGUGUGAAAUCCCCCGGCUCAACUGGGAACUGCACAGGAAACUAGCGGGCUUGAGUUCGGGAGAGGGAAGCGGAAUUCCGGGUGUAGCGGUGAAAUGCGUAGAUAUCCGGAGGAACACCGGUGGCGAAGGCGGCUUCCUGGACCGACACUGACGCUGAGGCGCGAAGCUAGGGGAGCAAACGGG